rnacentral:tRNA from 1 species
AGCGCGAUGGUGUAACGGGAACACAACAGGCUCUGAACCUGUUGUUGCUGGUUCAAGUCCAGCUCGCGCCGCCA